rnacentral:rRNA from 1 species
AUCUGGAGCGCACGAGUUCCCCUUAAGAUUAAAAUCUUCCUAUGGCAAGCGUUUCAUGGCAGGUUGCCUGCUGCUGAUCAGAUUCGCGAACGGAACGGACCUGGUUCGGAUAGGUGUGCUUUGUGUGGUGUGCUCGAAGAUAUGGAGCAUAUCUUGUUCUAGUGCUCCCUGGCCGAAUUUGUGUGGUGCUGUAUCAGGUCAUGGCUUCACUUAUCUUAG